UGGCAAGCGUUAUCCGGAAUUAUUGGGCGUAAAGCGCGCGUAGGCGGUUUUUAAGUCUGAUGUGAAAGCCCACGGCUCAACCGUGGAGGGUCAUUGGAAACUGGAAAACUUGAGUGCAGAAGAGGAAAGUGGAAUUCCAUGUGUAGCGGUGAAAUGCGCAGAGAUAUGGAGGAACACCAGUGGCGAAGGCGACUUUCUGGUCUGUAACUGACGCUGAUGUGCGAAAGCGUGGGGAUCAAACAGGAUUAGAUACCCUGGUAGUCCACGCCGUAAACGAUGAGUGCUAAGUGUUAGGGGUUUCCGCCCUUAGUGCUGCAGCUAACGCAUUAAGCACUCCGCCUGGGGAGUACGACCGCAAGGUUGAAACUCAAAGGAAUUGACGGGGCCGCACAAGCGGUGGAGCAUGUGGUUUAAUUCGAAGCAACGCGAAGGUCGACGCGGCCG
rnacentral:rRNA from 1 species